rnacentral:lncRNA from 1 species
GGCAGCAGGUCGACGCGGGGCUUGGUUGCCGGUUCGGUCUACAAGAGAAACCCGGUGACUUCUAACCUUUGUUAUUUCAUUCUUCAUUCUGCAUUCUUUCAUGCUUCGUAUUAUACUAGUAAUUGAGUAUAGUUUGGUUGCUGGAGUAGUUCUUUGAAUUUGUGUGAGCCUUGUAUUACUUGUUACUUGCUAUUACUUAUUACUUGCUGCUGCUUUGCUAUUACCAUCGUUUAUGUCUUUAUAUCUUUAUAUUAUCUUUAUAUUCUCGUAU